rnacentral:rRNA from 1 species
ACCAACAGGGAUUGCCUCAGUAGCGGCGAGUGAAGCGGCAAAAGCUCAAAUUUGAAAUCUGGCGUCUUUGGCGUCCGAGUUGUAAUUUGAAGAAGGUAUCUUUGGGCCCGGCUCUUGUCUAUGUUCCUUGGAACAGGACGUCACAGAGGGUGAGAAUCCCGUGCGAUGAGAUGGCCCGGGUCUAUGUAAAGUUCCUUCGACGAGUCGAGUUGUUUGGGAAUGCAGCUCUAAGUGGGUGGUAAAUUCCAUCUAAAGCUAAAUAUUGGCGAGAGACCGAUAGCGAACAAGUACAGUGAUGGAAAGAUGAAAAGAACUUUGAAAAGAGAGUGAAAAAGUACGUGAAAUUGUUGAAAGGGAAGGGCUUGAGAUCAGACUUGGUAUUUUGCAAGUUACUCUUUCGGGGGUGGCCUCUGCGGUUUACCGGGCCAGCAUCGGUUUGGAGCGGUAGGAUAAUGGCGGGGGAAUGUGGCACGACUUUGGUUGUGUGUUAUAGCCUCUGACGAUACUGCCAGCCUAGACCGAGGACUGCGGUUUUUACCUAGGAUG